CCUACGGGAGGCAGCAGUGAGGAAUCUUGGUCAAUGGGCGCAGGCCUGAACCAGCCAAGUCGCGUGAGGGCAGACUGCCCUAUGGGUUGUAAACCUCUUUUAUCAGGGAAGAAUAAUCACUACGUGUAGUCAGAUGCACGUACCUUAUGAAUAAGCAUCGGCUAACUCCGUGCCAGCAGCCGCGGUAAUACGGAGGAUGCGAGCGUUAUCCGGAUUUAUUGGGUUAAAGGGGUGCGUAGGCGGUAUUUUAAGUUAGUGUAAAACGUCGGGGCUUCACCUUUAUUUGCCAUUAACACUGGAGUACUAGAGUACAGACGAGGUAGGCGGAAUAAGUGAAGUAGCGGUGAAAUGCUUAGAUAUAACUUAGAACCCCGAUAGCGAAGGCAGCUUACCAGACUGUUACUGACGCUGAAGCACGAGAGCGUGGGUAGCGAACAGGAUUAGAUACCCUGGUAGUU
rnacentral:rRNA from 1 species